rnacentral:rRNA from 1 species
GACGAACGCUGGCGGCGUGCCUAAUACAUGCAAGUAGAACGCAGUUGCGAACGGGUGAGUAACGCGUAGGUAACUGCCUCUUAGCGGGGGAUAACUAUUGGUAACGAUAGCUAAUACCGCAUACUGUGAGAUGGACCUGCGUUGUAUUAGCUAGUUGGUGAGGUAAAGGCUCACCAAGACGACGAUACGUAGCCGACCUGAGAGGUGUAGCAGCAGACCUAGAACUGAGCAACGGGCCAGAAUCCUAAGGGAGGCAGCCGAAGGGAAUCUUCGGAAAUGGACGGAAGGCUGACCGAGCAACGCCGCGUGAGUGAAGAAGGUUUUCGGAACGUAAAGCUCUGUUGUUAGAGAAGCGGUAACUUACCAGAAAGUGACGGCUAACUACGUGCCAGCAGCCGCGGUAAUAC